rnacentral:lncRNA from 1 species
GCCACGCCGAGAGCCAAUCCCAUGCGGCCAACUCAAUGCAGCACAUGGCCGAAGAGGGCCAAAGAUAGACAGCACUUGGCGGCCAAACUAGGAAGCCAUUUGAAUUUGAAUUAAGUCUGAAAUAAGCCAAGGCACUCGGCCUACAAAAUGAGCCAUUAGGGCCCUUAGGCAAACAUCUCAUAUUACUCAUAUCUUUUGAAUUUCCAGCAUAGAGUCAAGGGUUGUCCCCCUUGUUUUCUUUCGGCCGAAAGGCUUGGGCUAAGGUGGAGAACAUCACUCCCCUUAGAUUGUUUUAGGCAUAGCAAGGUUCCUUCCGAAUCUUGCAUUGAGUCCUUGUAAUUCGUUGCUAUUGGAAUGAAGUCAAGUUUCUUUCAUCAUUGAGCCCCGAACCUUUUGAUUUCUUCCCACUGCCGGCAGCCAAAGGCAAAGCAUACGGCGUGGUUCCAAAGCAGCAAGAAGGAAGAGCGAUACCCACAAGCAAG